UACGGAGGGGGCGAGCGUUAUUCGGAAUUACUGGGCGUAAAGGGCUCGUAGGCGGCCAACUAAGUCGGAUGUGAAAUCCCCAGGCUUAACCUGGGAACUGCAUCCGAUACUGGAUGGCUUGAAUCCGGGAGAGGGAUGCAGAAUUCCAGGUGUAGCGGUGAAAUGCGUAGAUAUCUGGAGGAAUACCGGUGGCGAAGGCGGCAUCCUGGACCGGCAUUGACGCUGAGGAGCGAAAGCUAGGGGAGCAAACGGG
rnacentral:rRNA from 1 species